GUUUGGUGAAAGUACACACUGAGUGCUUAAAAUCAUUCAGACGAGAUGCUGUUUUUUAGGGCAGUUUAUUAAAGAAGACCUGACAUGGAUGACUUCCAAUGAGAAACGACUGCUACUUAUAUAAAUUCAUUACAGAAGGACCCUACCAGACUAUAUUUGAAUACGGCAUACCCAUGAAUUCUGGAACUGUUAUUUCUUAACCCAGUUUGGAGGAUAAGAGCUUACCAACUAGUUAUAAAUAUGCUGAGGUGAUGUAUUGCAAAAUAGCCAACAUACAACAAUUAAAGGAUAAUUGCAGACUACGUCCUGAUGAAGAUAUGGAUGACCCUCUGUCUUGUCAACAGGAGUUUAAAUAUGGACGGGACAGUUAUGUGGCAGCUCUUCCCUGGCUCAUUCACCUCUUGCCUUCAUUUGUGAAAGGAAGAAAGACUGGAGAGGGUCAAUAUGCAACUGAAGCUACUGAUUGUGCUGUGUGAUGAGCAUCAAUCCAUGCUUUGAGGGGGAUGAAUCAUCACAGCCCUGCCUGCUCUGCGUUGGGAACAAAAGUUGCAUCCAGAAUUUUUGCAUCAUUCUGGACCAAAAAGCCAUUCCCUGCAUGAUGAAGACCACUGAUGCAGCCUUCCACUACUGUACAGUAAAACAACUACAGAACUUAAUACCAGGUUGGAACGUGUUUAA